UUGAGAGUUUGAUCCUGGCUCAGGAUGAACGCUGGCGGCGUGCUUUAGGUAUGCAAAUCGAUCGCUACGCUCAUGCGCAAGCACUGAACGUAGAGAGGUGGACGGGUGAGUAACGCGCAGGAAUCUAAUCUUUGGUUGAGAAUAGCUCGCCGAAAGGCGAGGUAAUACUGGAUAAGCCACGUUCAGUUACAUGAACGUGGGAAAGACCGUAACUGGUCGCCGAAGGAUGAGCCUGUGUCCUAUCAGCUUGUUGGUGGGGUAAUGGCCUACCAAGGCGAUGACGGGUAGCUGGAGUGAGAGCUCGGUCAGCCACAAGGGCACUGAGACACGGGCCCUACGUCUACGGACGGCUGCAAUCGGGAAUUGUUCGCAAUGGGGGAAACCCUGACGACGCGACGCCGCGUGAAGGAUGAAGGCCUUCGGGUUGUAAACUUCUUUUACCCGCCAUAACGGCGGGGGAAUAAGCCGCUACUAACUACGUGCCAGAAGUCUCGGUAAGGCGUAGGCGGCAAGCGUUAUCCGGAUUUAUUGGGCGUAAAGAGUUUUGUAGGCGGUUGCCAUAAUUUUGUCUUAAAUCCUCUGGCUUAACUAGAGAAAUGGGCAGAAAAUUGGGCGACUUGACCGUUAGGGGGAAGACCGGAACUUGCAGUGGAGGGGUGAAAUCCGUUGAGAUUGCAAGGAACACCAAGGGCGAAGGCAGGUCUUUAACUAACUGGUGACGCUGAGGAACGAAAGCUUGGGGAGCGAAAGGGAUUAGAGACCCCUGUAGUCCAAGCUGUAAACAAUGCCCGCUAGAUGUUCCCCUCCGAUUCGGAGGGGGGUGUCGAAGCUAACGCAUUAAGCGGGCCGCCUGGGGAGUACGGCCGCAAGGCUGAAACUCAAAGGAAUUGGCGGGGACCUGCACAACCAGGGGAGCGUGUGGUUUAAUUCGAGACGAAGCGAAGAACCUUACCUGGGCUUGAAACCUCGACGUUCUAGUCCCGAGAAAUCGGGAUAAGUCCGUAAGGAGGUCGAGAUCAGCUGCUGCAUGGCUGUCGUCAGCUCUAGGCGUGAGCUGUAGGCUUAAGUGCCUCAUAGAGCGCAACCCCCGCCCCGUGUUAAAUAAUCACGGGGGACGGUCCCCUGCUUAGCAGGGGAAGGAAGGAGGGGAUGAUGUCAAGUCAGCACGGUGCUUAUGUCCAGGGCCACACACACACUACAAUGGACGAUAACAAUGAGUUGCGACCCGGCAACGGGAAGCUAAACCCUUAAAUUCGUCCUCAGUUGGGAUUGAGGGCUGCAAUUCGCCCUCAUGAACCCGGACUUGGUAGUAAUCGCGGAUCAGCAAGCCGCGGUGAAUACGUUCUCAGGUCUUGCACACACUGCCCGUCAGUCCAGCAAAGCUGGGAGUAGCCGAAGCCCUCCGAUUCGGAGGGUUAAGCUGAGCUCAGUGAUGAGGGACAAGUCGUAACAAGGUAUCCGUACUGGAAGGUGUGGAUGGAUCACCUCCUUUCUAAAGGAG
rnacentral:rRNA from 1 species